rnacentral:lncRNA from 1 species
AACAUCCUUUUUCAAAUUUCUAAAUUUUUCUUAAACUAUUUUAUUUUUAAACAUAUUUAAACUUCAAAAUGAAUAUAUUUAAGAUAAAUUGGUUCUAUAUAGUAUGCUAAGUCUAAGGUGAGAAGCUAUGUAAAAGAAAAUAUAAUUAUUUCAAUAUUUUCGAUUAAUAUUUCAUUAUUGAUCAAAUAAUUCUAGCUAAUAUUAUUGUGCCACGAUAGAUA